CAGAGCCGCGGUAAUACGGAGGGUGCAAGCGUUAAUCGGAAUUACUGGGCGUAAAGCGCACGCAGGCGGUCUGUCAAGUCAGAUGUGAAAUCCCCGGGCUUAACCUGGGAACUGCAUUUGAAACUGGCAGGCUAGAGUCUUGUAGAGGGGGGUAGAAUUCCAGGUGUAGCGGUGAAAUGCGUAGAGAUCUGGAGGAAUACCGGUGGCGAAGGCGGCCCCCUGGACAAAGACUGACGCUCAGGUGCGAAAGCGUGGGGAGCAAACAGGAUUAGAUACCCCUGUAGUCCCUGUCUCUUAUACA
rnacentral:rRNA from 1 species